GUGUCAGCAGCCGCGGUAAGACGGAGGAGGCAAGCGUUAUCCGGAAUUAUUGGGCGUAAAGGGUCCGCAGGUGGCAGUUCAAGUCUGCAGUCAAAGGUCGGGGCUCAACCCCGGAAAGGCUGUGGAAACUGACAAGCUAGAGGGCUCUAGGGGUAGAGGGAAUUCCCGGUGUAGCGGUGAAAUGCGUAGAGAUCGGGAAGAACAUCGGUGGCGAAAGCGCUCUACUGGAGAGCAACUGACACUCAGGGACGAAAGCUAGGGGAGCGAAUGGGAUUAGAUACCCCAGUAGUCCUAGCCGUAAACGAUGGAUACUAGGCGUGGCUCGUAUCGACCCGAGCCGUGCCGUAGCUAACGCGUUAAGUAUCCCGCCUGGGGAGUACGCACGCAAGUGUGAAACUUAAAUGAAUUGGCGGGG
rnacentral:rRNA from 1 species